GGGUGCCAAACAGGCAAUUACAAUGAUUUUCAGAAUAUAUAAAACCAUUCCUGAAUAUAUAAAGUCAGCGUCAGAAUAUAUAAAGUCAUUCCUGAAUAUAUAAAGUCAGCGUCGGAAUAUAUAAAGUCACUCCCGAAUAUGUAAAGUCAAAGCCUGAUUAUAUAAAGUCAGCGUCAGAAUAUAUAACGUCAUUACUGAAUAUAUAAAGUCGGCGUCGGAAUAUAUAACCUCAUUCCUGAAUAUAUAAAUUUAAAGUCAAAUUACAUUGAUACUGAUUGAAACGACUCAGGCACAUUUUUAGUAAACUCAAUUGAGUUCCUAAUACAACGUAAUGAACUAAGUUAACAAAAACAUCUUCAGAAAAAUAUUUUAAAAAACCCACUGUUCAGUUAAUUUAUUCAAAAUGAUGUAUGUGCCCUGCAUUUUGAACACUAUAUUUAUUUGUUCUUUUUGUAUGGGUGCAUUUUUGGACGAAUCUCACAAGCCCAAUCGACUCUGAGUGGCUUCUGUCAAAGUUUACCUUUCACUAGUACGAGUGAAAUGACAAGCACGGAAAUUUUAUAUAUUCGGGAAUGAUUUUAUAUAUUCCAAUGCUGACUUUAUAUAUUCAAAAAUGAGUUUAUAUAUUCCGACGCUUACUUUAUAUAAUCAGGCUUUGACGUUAUAUAUAAUCGGGAAUGAUUUUAUAUAUUCUGACGCUGACUUUAUAUAUUCAAGAAUGACUUUAUAUAUUCAAGUUUUGACUUUAUAUAUUCAGGAAUGACUUUAUAUAUUCCGAAAAUCAUUGCAAUUGCCUGUUUGGCAGCCCACAGGUACUGUAUAAUAGAUUUAUAAAAAAACAGCUAAGGGGAUAGAUAUAUAGAUAGACAGGAAGGAAAGGCACUAUAUGAUAGGCAGACAAGGAAGCUGCUAUAUAAUAAUAAAAUUA